ACGCCCGCGCUGCUCAGCGCUACCGCUUCCCCGCAACUGUGCGGAGUGGGAGCCGGUGCCCGGUCCGACCGGCUUGGGCGGCGCGCCUUCACCCGGCGCCAGGUCCGGACCCCUCCCUAGUAGCUUCGCGGCCUCCCUGCCUCCUGUGCGCGGCCUGGCUCGGAGAGGUCGGGCGGGCAGGCUUUCCCGACUGCAGGCGAGGCAGUGCGCGGCUCACCCCAGUCCCCGACCCACGUGAAGCGUACAGGGCAUUUUAUUAACCGGGAAGGACGGUGCGGAAGAGCGAGCAGGACGCCUCUUCACCCCGCGUAGGACUCGGGCGUCUCGGGUGCCUGGCACACCACGCAGCGCCGGCACAGCCAGCGGCGCAGGAGCGGGCAGCCGCGGUGCAGGAUAUCCGCCAGCGGGUGGCGCUGUUGGGAGGUGAGAAAACUGAUGCUUGGAGAUGUGAUCACUGCCCAGGGUCACCCAAUGAUAACAUGCAUGCAUAUGGAACUUGCUGCAUGCCAGCACCAUGUUCUCCUCAUCUAUCCCCAAACAUGGGCUUCCUUGAGGCACAGUCAUUCAACCAACCAGCCAGCAUUCAUUGAGCACCAUCUAUGUCCUGGGCACUGCUAGGGGAUGGUGAUAACAGGGAGAAGACUCUGUCCCUGCCUUCCAAUUGUGUAGAGGAAGACAUCCCCCUACAUGAUGGGUGAGACAUAGCAGAAGUGAGUAGGGGAUGAGGUGGGGGCUCAGAGGAGGGCAUGGUCAGCCUGUCUGGGAGGGAGUUGCAUGUGUGCAUCUGAGGUAGGGACAGGCAUGCAUCUUACAGGAUGAAUAUCGAGCAGAGUUACAGAGAGGGGGAAACUCCUUGAGGUUUCAGGAAUCACCUAAUCCACUGUGACUCACAAAUUCCUGCCUCUUGGCUUUGCCUGCAGCAUAUCUCCUGGAAGUGUGCUGGGGCAAAACUCAUCCCAGACCACCAUCUCCAUCCUCCCCCAAUACACCCUGGCUCUCCCUGGCUACCCUUGAGCACGGUGCACGUGUGCAUGGGUGCAUGCCUGCAUAUAUAGCUAUCCCCCAUGUAUUUCCCAAAGCCCUACAUAAUGCUUCAGUUUGCUAAGGAAAAAAUGUUAAUUACUGCAAAUGUGUUUAAAACUGUAAAAGUACAUUAAACAAACUCUGUAAAGUGUGAAA
rnacentral:lncRNA from 10 species